rnacentral:rRNA from 2 species
AGCAGUCGAGCGAAGCGUGAUCUCAGUAGCUUGCUUCUAUGACGUUAGCGGCGGACGGGUGAGUAACACGUGGGCAACCUGCCUGUAAGACUGGGAUAACUUCGGGAAACCGAAGCUAAUACCGGAUAGGAUCUUCUCCUUCAUGGGAGAUGAUUGAAAGAUGGUUUCGGCUAUCACUUACAGAUGGGCCCGCGGUGCAUUAGCUAGUUGGUGAGGUAACGGCUCACCAAGGCAACGAUGCAUAGCCGACCUGAGAGGGUGAUCGGCCACACUGGGACUGAGACACGGCCCAGACUCCUACGGGAGGCAGCAGUAGGGAAUCUUCCGCAAUGGACGAAAGUCUGACGGAGCAACGCCGCGUGAGUGAUGAAGGCUUUCGGGUCGUAAAACUCUGUUGUUAGGGAAGAACAAGUACGAGAGUAACUGCUCGUACCUUGACGGUACCUAACCAGAAAGCCACGGCUAACUACGUGCCAGCAGCCGCGGUAAUACGUAGGUGGCAAGCGUUAUCCGGAAUUAUUGGGCGUAAAGCGCGCGCAGGCGGUUUCUUAAGUCUGAUGUGAAAGCCCACGGCUCAACCGUGGAGGGUCAUUGGAAACUGGGGAACUUGAGUGCAGAAGAGAAAAGCGGAAUUCCACGUGUAGCGGUGAAAUGCGUAGAGAUGUGGAGGAACACCAGUGGCGAAGGCGGCUUUUUGGUCUGUAACUGACGCUGAGGCGCGAAAGCGUGGGGAGCAAACAGGAUUAGAUACCCUGGUAGUCCACGCCGUAAACGAUGAGUGCUAAGUGUUAGAGGGUUUCCGCCCUUUAGUGCUGCAGCUAACGCAUUAAGCACUCCGCCUGGGGGAGUACGGUCGCAAGACUGAAACUCAAAGGAAUUGACGGGGGGCCCGCACAAGCGGUGGAAGCAUGUGGGUUUAAUUCGAAAGCAACGCGGAAAAACCUUUACCAGGGUCUUGGACAUCCUUCUGGACAACUUCUAGAAGAUAGAAGCGUUUCCCCUUUCGGGGGGACAGAAGUGAACAGGUGGGUGCCAUGGGUUGUCCGUCCGCCUCCGUGGUCGUGGAGAAUGUUUGGGGUUUAAGGUCCCC